AACGUAGGGGGCGAGCGUUGUCCGGAAUUACUGGGCGUAAAGGGCGCGUAGGCGGUGAGGUAAGUCUCGAGGUGAAAACUUUCGGCUCAACCGGAAGCGUGCCUGAGAAACUGCCUGACUUGAGUGCAGGAGAGGAGAGUGGAAUUCCUAGUGUAGCGGUGAAAUGCGUAGAUAUUAGGAGGAACACCAGUUGCGAAGGCGGCUCUCUGGACUGUAACUGACGCUGAGGCACGAAAGCGUGGGGAGCAAACAGGAUUAGAUACCCGUGUAGUCCCU
rnacentral:rRNA from 1 species